rnacentral:misc_RNA from 1 species
CUCGCGAUCACCGCGGGCGUGUUCUAGCUGUACUUUAUUCAAGAGUACAAAAAAAGCAGAAAAUAUCUCUUCCGACCGUAGGCGUGAUGGGAUUGCAAUGCAUCCAGGCGGCGGAACGCAGCAGAAUGCAUCGUAUCAGGAACGAGGCGGCAGGGGGGGGGUCCGGUCCAGCCGCAAGCUGCCAGCGCACAGGGACGGCGGAAAAGGACGAGAUGCCCGUCGCCAAGUUGCGGCCGCCGGGCUCAAAAAUAUUCCCAAGGGGCAAAAGCUGCAGACCUCGAAAAUUCUGGGGAAACCUGUCAAUCAGAUCGGGAGGAUUUACGUGCAAGAAACAACCAUGGGACAACUGGGC